AGCAGCCGCGGUAAUUCCAGCUCCAAUAGCGUAUAUUAAAGUUGCUGCAGUUAAAAAGCUCGUAGUUGAAUUUCGGGACUAUCAUGUCGGUCGUGCCUCGGUACGUACUGGUAUUGUUGGUUUCUCCCUUCUGACGAACCAUGAUGUCAUUUAUUUGGUGUUGUGGGGAAUCAGGACUGUUACUUUGAAAAAAUUAGAGUGUUUAAAGCAGGCUCACGCUUGAAUACAUUAGCAUGGAAUAAUGAAAUAGGACGUUUGAUUCUAUUUUGUUGGUUUCUAGGAUCGACGUAAUGAUUAAUAGGGAUAGUUGGGGGCAUUAGUAUUCAAUUGUCAGAGGUGAAAUUCUUGGAUUUAUUGAAGACUAACUACUGCGAAAGCAUUUGCCAAGGAUGUUUUCAUUAAUCAAGAACGAAAGUUAGGGGAUCGAAGACGAUCAGAUACCGUCGUAGUCUUAACCAUAAACUAUGCCGACUAGGGAUCGGAUGAUGUUAAUUUUAAUGACUCAUUCGGCGCCUUAAC
rnacentral:rRNA from 1 species